AGGUGGGAGGAGUUCUUGAGCCCAGGAGGUGGAGGUUGCAGUGAGCUGAGAUCACGCCACUGCACUCCAGCCUGGGCAAUGUAGUGAGACCCUGUC
rnacentral:miRNA from 1 species